UACGAAGGGGGCUAGCGUUGCUCGGAAUCACUGGGCGUAAAGCGCACGUAGGCGGAUCUUUAAGACAGGUGUGAAAUCCCCGGGCUUAACCUGGGAACUGCAUUUGUGACUGCAUCGCUGGAGUGCGGCAGAGGGGGGUGGAAUUCCGCGUGUAGCAGUGAAAUGCGUAGAGAUGCGGAGGAACACCGAUGGCGAAGGCAGCCCCCUGGGCUGACACUGACGCUCAGGCACGAAAGCGUGGGGAGCAAACAGG
rnacentral:rRNA from 1 species